rnacentral:lncRNA from 10 species
CUUCCUCUAAGUAUUUUCUUCAGCAACUAAGCUUUUCUGUUUGCUCAAUUUCUUGUCCCGUGAGCGCUACCACCCACCCCCCGCCACCUUCUUCCCCUCCCCCCACAUCCGUUCACUCUCUUUGACCUUUUGCCAAAACUCUGAACGCUCGCUGCCCUCCCUCCCAUUUCCUCACCGCGUUUCAGGAGCUGUAAGUUCUUGGUGUUCAAACCCCCUACGGUUACGUAAACAGAACUCUGCAGUUAUCUUCUUUCCCUUUCUUCGGAGCUUUGUUUUCAAGUUCAUUAGAGACUUCCUGUGGGUGUAAUUACCGCUCUGCAGUUUUGAGCGCUGCCCACCUUCCCCCUGUUUUGUUAAAAAUGUCAUAGAUCUUUGGAGAUUUCUUUCACUUCUAAAGUUAUUACCUGUCUGCCUGCACAUCAAUCUUGUUGAUUUUAUUUCAGGGCAUUUUCCGGAGUGAACUUCUGCAUAGCGAUUUUUUUUGUCCCUCCCCACCCCCUCUUUGUUUUGCAGGAAGGUGAAAUAAGACAGAAGAAAAGGGUUAGAACUUUAGAACUCCAGGACCCAACCUCAGUCCUUUCAAGCACCGUCUGCAAACAGAUGCUGUGCUAGACUCAGCACCCUGUCUGGUGAAACUGCUCCUUGGGGUGACAUCGGUCGAAUGUGUGAGAGGCUUCAGCGGAUGCCCUGACUUUUACACCAUGGAAGGGCUUUCUCCUCACUCUCCAUUCUUCAUCCCACUCCAUCCAUGCGCUUUCUCCCCUCCCCAUGGGGUGGGGUGGGGGAGUCUUUCCUCCAGCUGAGAGCAGAGGCCUUGGCCAACUAGAUGUGUCUUCUGGGAUUUCACAGUCGGGCCACCUCUCACCUCUUGCACAGGCUGGUGGGUUAAAUGAAACUCCUGUAGCAACUCACAGAGCAUUUGAUUUAAAGCUAAGAUUUAUAGGAACUCACAAGUCAGAAUGGAACAAUAAUUUCCCUCCGGUUGCACUGCCACUACUGAGGAGCAAUCGCCUAAUUCCACACAGAGUUUGCUGAUUCUGUGGGCCUAACAGAGAACUCCAGAUGGGCAACUAGGAGCUAAGAAGUGCAUCCUAUGUCACCAGGAGCUAAUUUUCCCUGGAUUUUCAAAGAGGCCUCAUAUUUGACCCAUGUCAUGGCAGGGUGAAAUAUAAGUCCUUCCUGAACCCUUGGAAGCUGAACGUUGUGGACAUCAGCCAUGGGAAAUACAUUUCCUUUAAACUGAUCACCAGGCCUUAGUAUGAUCCAUGCCUUGAGUGGACAGAGACCUUUCAUGUUUGGUCAUUACUCAGCCAGACACUUCUCUGAGAGGUGAUGACUUCCCUAGGAAGGAAUAACAAAGCCCCUUUCAGGCUGUUGAUGGGCCCUGUCCACUUUAAUUUUGCAUUCAGCCUCGCUCAUUUCUGUGAGCUGAGAUUUUGAUUAUUCUGAUUUCCACGACUCCUUUUGUGAAACAGAGACACUGAGGUGAAUGCACGGGCCCAGUCCCCUCCUUUUUGAGUGUGCCCUCGGAAGCAGAGGCAGGUGGUGUUGCCGAAACACCCAGGUUCUGUCUAGGUCCUGCCGCUCCCUGCACAGAAAGCCAAUCACAGAGAUGACAAGUAUUGCCAAGGAAGAAGGCUUUAAUCAGGUGCUGUAGCUGAGAAGAUGGGAGCCCAGUCUCAAAUCCAUCUCCCCAUCCACCUAAAACUAGGGGUUUAUACACCAGGGAAGAAAGAUAACAGUGUGUAAGAAAACAGGAACUACGGAGGGGCAAGGAAGCAGUCACAAUGUAGGGUAUCUCAUUGUCUGGAUGUGUUGAUCUGGUGAGUUUCCCUUCUUUGAUGAUACUUUUUUUUUGAGAGGCGGUGGCUCAUGCCUGUAAUCCCAGCACUUUGGGAGGCUGAGGCGGGUGGAUCAUUUGAGGUCAGGAGUUCGAGACCAGCCUGGCCAACAUGGUGAAACCCCGUCUCUACUAAAAAUACAAAAAAAAUGAGCCAGGUGUGGUGGCGGGCACCUGUAGUCCCAGCAAUUCGGGAGGCUGAGGCACGAGAAUUGCUUGAACCCAGGAGGCAGAGGCUGCAGUGAGCCGAGAUUGCACCACUGCACUUCAGCCUGGCGACAGAGGGAGACCCUGACUCCAAAAAAAAAAAAAAAGGUAAGGUUCAGCCAGGUGUGUUGGCUGACGCCUGUAAUCCCAGCACUUUGGGAGGCCAGGUGGGUGGAUCACGAGGAUCACAAGGUCAAGAGAUGGAGAACAUCCUGGCAAACAUGGUGAAACCCCAUCUCUACUAAAAAUACAAAAAAUUAGCCGGGUGUGGUGGC